GGGGACCUUCGGGGCCCUUCACCACAUAGGCCUUUGACCAGGCCGCAAAGCAACGGAAAGACAGUAA
rnacentral:ncRNA from 1 species